rnacentral:rRNA from 1 species
AACGAACGCUGGCGGCAGGCUUAACACAUGCAAGUCGAACGAGAUCUUCGGAUCUAGUGGCAGACGGGUGAGGAACACGUGGGAACAUCCCUUUCAGUUCGGAAUAACGUUGGGAAACUGACGCUAAUACCGGAUACGUCCUUCGGUAGAAAGAUUUAUCGCUGAAAGAUUGGCCCGCGUCUGAUUAGCUAGUUGGUGAGGUAACGGAUCACCAAGGCUACGAUCAGUAGCUGAUCUGAAAGGAUGAUCAGCCCCAUUGGGACUGAGACAGGUCCCAACUCCUACGGGAGGCAGCAGUGGGGAAUAUUGGACAAUGGGCGCAAGCCUGAUCCAGCCAUGCCGCGUGAGUGAUGACGGCCUUCGGGUUGUAAAGCUCUUUUGUCCGGGAAGAAUAUGACGGUAACAUAGGAAUAAGGGUCUGCUAACUACGUGCCAGCCGCCGCAGUAA